CAGUACGGGGAAUGAUGUAUUACAGAAGAGCUCUAAGACUUCAGGCUUUUCUUGACAUGGCUGAUGAAAAAGGUAGUG
rnacentral:snRNA from 1 species